UACGUAGGGUGCGAGCGUUGCCCGGAUUUAUUGGGCGUAAAGGGCGCGUAGGCGGCCUGGCGCGUCGGCUGUGAAAUCUCCCGGCUCAACUGGGAGGGGACGGCCGAUACGGCUGGGCUUGAGCGAGGUAGGGGAGAGUGGAAUUCCCGGUGUAGUGGUGAAAUGCGCAGAUAUCGGGAAGAACACCCGUGGCGAAGGCGGCUCUCUGGGACGGUACUGACGCUGAGACGCGAAAGCGUGGGGAGCGAACAGG
rnacentral:rRNA from 1 species